rnacentral:rRNA from 1 species
UUAUGUGAUCGUCUCUCGCAUAUCAAUAAGCGGAGGAAAAGAAACUAACAAGGAUUCCCCUAGUAACGGCGAGUGAAGCGGGAAGAGCUCAAAUUUGAAAUCUUAAAGGGUUUCCCUUUACGAAUUGUAGUUUAAAGAAGUGUUUUCUGUUGAGGUUUUGGUAAAAGUUCUUUGGAAUAGGACAUCAUAGAGGGUGAGAAUCCCGUAUUUGACCUUUACUUUCAACUUUGUGAUACACUUUCAAAGAGUCGGAUUGUUUGGGAAUGCAGUCCAAAAUGGGUGGUAAAUUUCAUCUAAAGCUAAAUAUUGGCGAGAGACCGAUAGCGAACAAGUACCGUGAGGGAAAGAUGAAAGGAACUUUGAAAAGAGAGUUAAACAGUACGUGAAAUUGUCAAAAGGGAAGCGUUUGACACCAGUGUUGUUUUUCUGAAAAUCAAUUAAAGAACUGUUUAUGCUAAGUUGUUUAGACUUUAUCAGCUAACUGUUUAGUUUUGAGCUUUUCUUUAAUGCACUUUUCAGUUAACAAGUCAACAUCAAUUUCUUUUGCUGUAAAAAAGCUUGAGGAAGGUGGCUUGAGAUUCGUCUUAAGUGUUUAUAGCCUCUUGCCUAUGCAGUAGGAGAGAUUGAGGUCUGCAGCGUAGAUCCUUCGGGGCUAAAUGCAUUUGUGCUAAGUUAUAACAUUUUAUAGACAACUUGUUGACUAUGAUUUGUCUUGUAGCUUACUCGCUUAUGUUAUUUUACCUACGCUUAGGAUGUUGAAGUCAUCGUAUCGCGC